rnacentral:tRNA from 1 species
AACCUUUGAGGUAAGCGGG